UACGUAGGGUGCGAGCGUUAGUCGGAAUUACUGGGCGUAAAGCGUGCGCAGGCGGUCUGUUAAGACCGAUGUGAAAUCCCCGGGCUUAACCUGGGAACUGCAUUGGUGACUGGCAGGCUUUGAGUGUGGUAGAGGGAGGUAGAAUUCCACGUGUAGCAGUGAAAUGCGUAGAGAUGUGGAGGAAUACCGAUGGCGAAGGCAGCCUCCUGGGCCAACACUGACGCUCAUGCACGAAAGCGUGGGGAGCAAACAGG
rnacentral:rRNA from 1 species